UUUUCUUAGAAUAAAACGUUAACUGACGUAUCUGCAAAAAUAAUGUAAUUUUAUUCAUCCUAUUACUGGCUACGAACGGUAUUUAUAAUAACAAUUAAUUCAGGUACUUAGCGGACACAAUAAUAUCAAUUGCCGAAAUAAAAAGGCUUGGGAGAUUAUGAUAAUCUCAUAAUCACGUAGUAAUUGAUAAGUUAUAUCACACAAAAACACACGAAAUGAAAUAAAGUAUGGAGAUUUUUACUAUUCACUUUACUUUUCCCCGGAUUUGUUAAAAUAAACGCAAAUUAUUUAACAGCAGGAGGCUGCUUAUUUAGGUCACCACAUCUCCCGCUAGCAGAUCGUGGCACAUUGAAUCUAACACCUGUGCUACAAUGGAAAUAAUCCAUGUAACCAGUUUUGGAGAAAAUAAAAGUUCAUUGAACAGA